UACGUAGGGGGCAAGCGUUGUCCGGAUUUAUUGGGCGUAAAGAGCGUGUAGGCGGUUAGGUAGGUCCGUUGUGAAAACUCGAGGCUCAACCUCGAGACGCCGAUGGAAACCAUCUAACUAGAGUCCGGAAGAGGAGAGUGGAAUUCCUGGUGUAGCGGUGAAAUGCGCAGAUAUCAGGAAGAACACCGGUGGCGAAGGCGGUUCUCUGGGCCUUACCUGACGCUGAGGAGCGAAAGCGUGGGGAGCAAACAGG
rnacentral:rRNA from 1 species